rnacentral:rRNA from 1 species
CCUACGGGCGGCAGCAGUGAGGAAUAUUGGUCCAUGGGCGCGAGCCUGAACCAGCCAAGUCGCGUGAGGGAAGACGGUCCUAUGGAUUGUAAACCUCUUUUGUCGGGGAGCAAAAGACGCCACGCGUGGCGUUCCGAGAGUACCCGAAGAAAAAGCAUCGGCUAACUCCGUGCCAGCAGCCGCGGUAAUACGGAGGAUGCGAGCGUUAUCCGGAUUUAUUGGGUUUAAAGGGUGGGCGGGGGGAAUGUAAAGUCAGCGGUAAAAUUGAGAGGCUCAACCUCUUCGAGCCGUUGAAACUGGUUGUCUUGAGUGAGUGAGAGGUAUGCGGAAUGCGUGGUGUAGCGGUGAAAUGCAUAGAUAUCACGAAGAACUCCGAUUGCGAAGGCAGCAUACCGGCGCUCAACUGACGCUCAUGCACGAAAGUGUGGGUAUCGAACAGGAUUAGAUACCCGAGUAGUC